CACCAGCCAGACCUGCUCGGGUUCGUCAAGAGUACGAUCCGGAACUGACUUCGGAUUUCGAAUCGUCACUCUUGAUGCUCUCGUGUACAUCUGAGCCCUGCCUAGU
rnacentral:pre_miRNA from 1 species